GACGAACGCUGGCGGCGCGCCUAACACAUGCAAGUCGAACGGAGUCAAGAGGAGCUUGCUUUUCUUGACUUAGUGGCGAACGGGUGAGUAACGCGUGAGUAACCUGCCCUGGAGUGGGGGACAACAGUUGGAAACGACUGCUAAUACCGCAUAAGCCCACGGAUCCGCAUGGAUCUGCGGGAAAAGGAUUUAUUCGCUUCAGGAUGGACUCGCGUCCAAUUAGCUAGUUGGUGAGGUAACGGCCCACCAAGGCGACGAUUGGUAGCCGGACUGAGAGGUUGAAAGGCCACAUUGGGACUGAGACACGGCCCCGACUCCGACGGGAGGCAGCAGUGGGGGAUAUUGCACAAUGGGGGAAACCCUGAUGCAGCGACGCCGCGUGGAGGAAGAAGGUUUUCGGAUUGUAAACUCCUGUCGUUAGGGACGAUAAUGACGGUACCUAACAAGAAAGCACCGGCUAACUACGUG
rnacentral:rRNA from 1 species